UACAGAGGUCUCAAGCGUUGUUCGGAUUCAUUGGGCGUAAAGGGUGCGUAGGCGGCGAGGUAAGUCAGAUGUGAAAUCCCGGGGCUUAACCCCGGAACUGCAUUUGAUACUGCUUUGCUUGAGGACUGGAGAGGAGAUCGGAAUUCACGGUGUAGCAGUGAAAUGCGUAGAUAUCAGGAAGAACACCCGUGGCGAAGGCGGCUCUCUGGAACGCAACUGACGCUGAGACGCGAAAGCGUGGGGAGCAAACAGG
rnacentral:rRNA from 1 species